rnacentral:rRNA from 1 species
GACGAACGCUGGCGGCGUGCUUAACACAUGCAAGUCGAACGGAAAGGCCCUGCUCUUGUUGGUUUCUCGUUUGGCGAGCGCGUGAGUGACACGCGAGGAUCACCCCCCUGUAUGAGGGAGAAAACUUCGGGAAUCGGGCUAAUACAGGAGAGGAUCUCUUGCAGCACGGGGUGGGUUGGAGAGAUUCGGCGGUGGGGGAUGGACUAGCGGCUUAUCAGCUAGAUGGGCGGGUAGGGGUAUACCAAGGCUAUGACGGGUAGCCGGCCUGAGAGGGUGACCAGCGACAUGGCUCCUGAGAUACGGCCCAGACGCCUACCGUAGGCAGCAGUGGGGAAUCUUGCACAGUGGGCGCAAGCCUGAUGCGGCAGCGCCGGGUGCGGGAUGACCGCUUUCGGGUUGUAAACCGCUUUCGCCGGUGACGUACCGGUAGUGACGGUAAUGGGUAAAGAAGCACCGGCUAACUACGUG